rnacentral:lncRNA from 1 species
CGCCCCAUUUUGAGAGUUUUACUAAAUUUCUGAAUCGCCCAGGCUGAGCUGGAAUCUGUAAUCUUCCUGCCUCAACCUCCCAGAGUGCUAGGAUUAGAGCCAGGAAACUACUGUGAUGGAUGGACUAGAGUGCUAGAAGAUAUUCUUUAAGGAAAACUUAACAAGAGAUUCUGCACACUGUGUUGAACUAGAUGUAUAAAGAACCAGCCUCUGGUGUAUGAAGGAACUGAACUCUGACUUCCUGCACUAAUACAGUGAUACCUCAGUUGUCAAACUCAGUCCUUUUCCAAUGUUCAAACACUGAAAAGUUCGGGAACUGAAAUUAUUUCCCGUAAGAAAGAAUGGAAAACCAAAUAACUGGUAUGAGGACCAAAAUUAAACUUAUAAAUUCUUUUUUUAGGAAUUGAACAAACUUUGCUAUGAUUUAUUUCUUUAUUGUGCUUCUCGGUUUUCUUUUUAGCUUCACUGCUGGUAUCACUAACUUUCUUUGGAGCCAUGGUUACAAUACUUUAUGCAAAUGAAGCACAAAAAUUGACGGUGACGAAUGUUUUAAAGCCAUACAAACACUGUAUGUUUUCUGGGCAAGACUGUUUCUUAGACUGAAGCUUCACUCCUCCAUGUCGAUGGCAAAACUGAUGCGUGACUCACUCUCUGACCAUAAUGGUUUUUUUGAGUCAGACUUUCGGUUUAACUAUUGAACAAAGUUAUGAACACUGAGCAUAUUCCUUUAAAUCUUCUUGUUCAACUAGUGGAAAGUUUGAGCUUAGAGCCAUUGGACAACUGAGGUAUCACUAGUAAUUUUGUGUGUUAUUUGCUAAGUCCAUUAUUCAUCUAUAAAGUGGUAAUUACACUAGUAAUUUUUACAUUAUUGGAUUGUUAUGUAUUAAAAUAGAGAUCCCUUAAGAAAAUGUCCCAUGGUAUGAUUUCCUCAAAUAAUAUCUAGUUGAAAUCUGUUUCUUGCUUUCGAACUUCUGCAGUGGGGGGGACAAUUUUUAGUGUCUGGGGGCACACUUGCAUAUGCAUACAUACAC